rnacentral:rRNA from 1 species
UACGAAGGGGGCUAGCGUUGCUCGGAAUUACUGGGCGUAAAGGGCGCGUAGGCGGCACUGUUAGUCAGGCGUGAAAGUCCUGGGCUCAACCUGGGAACUGCGCUUGAUACGGCAGAGCUAGAGGAUGGAAGAGGCUCGCGGAAUUCCCAGUGUAGAGGUGAAAUUCGUAGAUAUUGGGAAGAACACCGGUGGCGGAGGCGGCGAGCUGGUCCAUUACUGACGCUGAGGCGCGACAGCGUGGGGAGCAAACAGG